rnacentral:lncRNA from 1 species
GUGUAAUCUUCAUAGACUAUAUUAGACGGAUUAAAAUAGGCUGCGAAACAAUCCUCAUCUUUCCACUGGAAAAAGUUAAGAGGAGAUAAGUAAACACAGUCCACGACACUUCUAGUUCCUUUGAUACCAUGAUUAUCCGGUUCACUAGGUGGACCUUGAUACCAAUCAGUGAAUGAAAGAGGAUGACCAGAAAUCCAUUCAAACGAGCCUUCGAUCUUUAUGUCUAUUAAACCAAUCCACCAGUUAUCUAGAGAUAAGAUAUUCGUUAGCUGACAUUGAUUUAUAUUUUUAAUCCAAAUCUAAAUAACAUCAACAUCACACAAAACCUUUUUUAAGUAUAUUGACAAGAUUAUUUCGGUGUCAAAAGAGGAUUUAUUAAUCAUAAAAGUCAUUUGUAAGAACCUCUUUUAGAUAGCAAAAGGGGUCAACAAUAAUGUUCUACAAAUAAGUCAGUACCGGAAUUGUUAGACCACUCACAUUAAUGCCCUUCAAUGAUAAUUUUAAAAAACAGAUCUAUAAUUUUUUGUCCGUAUCUUGAAAGCUAUAGUAGAAAAAAAGAAACUAUGAAAAAGGAAAAAUUAUAAAUAGGAUCAGAUCUACAACUAUAUCAACAUCACUGAAACUAUUGGUUAUCUUUCAAAAGAGUUAUGUUCCUUUAAUGAUGUUUGUACUAUAAAAAGAAGCCAAUAUUGAAGAUGUAGGUGAGCGGCAAAGACUUUUUACAUUAUCUUGUUUAAUAAAAGAAUUUAGAUAUUCAUUUUUUGAACACGCA